rnacentral:tRNA from 1 species
GCCCCCAUCGUCUAGCGGGCGGGUGUCCGAAGACCCCGCCCUUUCACGGCGGUAGCGCCGGUUCGAAUCCGGUUGGGGGUACCA